rnacentral:rRNA from 1 species
UUUGUCUUGUAAUUGGAAUGAUGGAAAUUUAAACACUUUUUAAAGUAUCAAUUGGAGGGCAAGUCUGGUGCCAGCAGCCGCGGUAAUUCCAGCUCCAAUAGCGUAUAUUAAAAUUGUUGCAGUUAAAAAGCUCGUAGUUGAAUUUCUGCUAAAAAUAACCGGUCUGCUUUUUUAUGAAAGUGGUAUCUUGGUGUGUUUUUAGCAAUAAUGUCCUUUGAAAUGGUUUUUACUUUAUUGUAAAAAGCAAUAUUCAGGAUUUUUACUUUGAGAAAAUUAGAGUGUUUCAAGCAGGCUUACGUUUUGAAUACUGCAGCAUGGAAUAAUAAAAUAGGAUUUUAGUUCUACUUUGUUGGUUUAAAGAACUAAAUUAAUGAUUGAUAGGGACAGUUGGGGGCAUUUGUAUUUAACUGUCAGAGGUGAAAUUCUUAGAUUUGUUAAAGACAAACUACUGCGAAAGCAUUUGCCAAAGAUGUUUUCAUUAAUCAAGAACGAAA